CUCCGCUUAAGAAAUUAAGCUGAUAUCUUGCAUUUCUAGUGGUUCUCCAGCUAUUUUUGCUUCCAAUAUCUUGCAUUCUUAGCUGUAGAAGAUUAUGGCUUUUGGGAGAGCAAGUUUUAGGAUUUCAUGCUCAUGUUUUUUCUCGCAGAAAUUUUAUUGGGAAGGGAUCUAAAGAAGAGCUUUCCUUCUAGUCAUUACUGAUAGCUUGCAUAUUUUCUCAGUUUCCUGGCUCAAAAGCUUGAAGACAGAAAAUUUCAGGUUGCAGUUUCUGUGUUGUUUAAAGCUUAAAGUGUAGCAGCUCGGGAGAAGAAACCUAACGAAAACCAAGGCUGUGUAUAUCCAUGGAAGUGCCCAUGCCACCCGCAUGCCUCUUCUUUCAAGGUAU